ncrna:Synechococcus sp. WH 7805 Glutamine-II riboswitch (downstream peptide RNA)
GCACGUUGAGCCGCAAGGCUGCAGUUCGCUCCGCACCAAGCAACGGGGGUGUGGA